rnacentral:rRNA from 1 species
GGUUUGAUCAUGGCUCAGGAUGAACGCUAGCUACAGGCUUAACACAUGCAAGUCGUGGGGCAGCAUGGGAGAUGCUUGCAUUUCCUGAUGGCGACCGGCGCACGGGUGAGUAACGCGUAUCCAACCUGCCCUUUACUCCGGCACAGCCCGUCGAAAGGCGGAUUAAUGCGGGAUGCAGUCAGAGAGAUGCAUAUAUGUCUGACGAAAGGAAUUGUCCGGUAAGGGAUGGGGAUGCGUCCGAUUAGCUUGACGGCGGGGUAACGGCCCACCGUGGCUACGAUCGGUAGGGGUUCUGAGAGGAAGGUCCCCCACAUUGGAACUGAGACACGGUCCAAACUCCUACGGGAGGCAGCAGUGAGGAAUAUUGGUCAAUGGGCGAGAGCCUGAACCAGCCAAGUAGCGUGCAGGAAGACGGCCCUAUGGGUUGUAAACUGCUUUUGUACGGGAAUAAAGUUGGCCACGUGUGACCAUUUGCAUGUACCGUACGAAUAAGGACCGGCUAAUUCCGUGCCAGCAGCCGCGGUAAUACGGAAGGUCCGGGCGUUAUCCGGAUUUAUUGGGUUUAAAGGGAGCGUAGGCCGUCUCAAAAGCGUGUUGUGAAAUGUCCCGGCUCAACCGGGGAUGUGCAGCGCGAACUGUGAGACUUGAGUGUGCGGAAGGUAUGCGGAAUUCGUGGUGUAGCGGUGAAAUGCAUAGAUAUCACGAAGAACUCCGAUUGCGAAGGCAGCAUGCCGCAGCACCACUGACGCUGAUGCUCGAAGGUGCGGGUAUCGAACAGGAUUAGAUACCCUGGUAGUCCGCACAGUAAACGAUGGAUGCUCGCUGUGAGUCAGUUGUGAUUUGCGGCCAAGCGAAAGCGUUAAGCAUCCCACCUGGGGAGUACGCCGGCAACGGUGAAACUCAAAGGAAUUGACGGGGGCCCGCACAAGCGGAGGAACAUGUGGUUUAAUUCGAUGAUACGCGAGGAACCUUACCCGGGCUUGAAUUGCAGGUGCAUGGACAAGAGAUUGUCCUUUCCUUCGGGACUCCUGUGAAGGUGCUGCAUGGUUGUCGUCAGCUCGUGCCGUGAGGUGUCGGCUUAAGUGCCAUAACGAGCGCAACCCCUCUCCGUAGUUGCCAUCGGUUCGGCCGGGCACUCUGCGGACACUGCCUCCGCAAGGAGUGAGGAAGGUGGGGAUGACGUCAAAUCAGCACGGCCCUUACGUCCGGGGCUACACACGUGUUACAAUGGGGCAUACAGAGAGCAGGGUGUACGCAAGUGCAUUCAAAUCAAGAAAGUGCCUCUCAGUUCGGACUGGGGUCUGCAACCCGACCCCACGAAGCUGGAUUCGCUAGUAAUCGCGCAUCAGCCAUGGCGCGGUGAAUACGUUCCCGGGCCUUGUACACACCGCCCGUCAAGCCAUGAAAGCCGGGGGCGCCUGAAGUCCGUGACCGCGAGGGUCGGCCUAGGGUGAAACCGGUGAUUGGGGCUAAGUCGUAACAAGGUAGCC